UACGAAGGGGGCUAGCGUUGUUCGGAAUUACUGGGCGUAAAGCGCACGUAGGCGGAUACUUAAGUCAGGGGUGAAAGCCUGGGGCUCAACCCCAGGUCUGCCGUGCGAACUGGUGGACUAGAGCACUGUAGAGGCAGGUGGAAUUCCGGGUGUAGCGGUGGAAUGCGUAGAGAUCCGGAAGAACACCGGUGGCGAAGGCGGCCUGCUGGGCAGUUGCUGACGCUGAGGCGCGACAGCGUGGGGAGGCAAACA
rnacentral:rRNA from 1 species